UUUUUUUCACAUUACCAGCUGGGAGUAAGCAGUGGAGAGGAGGUGCGCUGAUCGCUCCAUGGGAACACGACUCGCUAGCAAAGGAUUACCUUUUAAAGGAUUAUCUUUUAAACAAAGACAAAAAAAAAUAGGUAUACUGCAAGCAACUAGCUCAAAUCAAAAGAAACACAUUAAUCCAACGGGAUUAUCAGAGCUCUUUCCUUUACCCUUGCAUAUGUAAGCUCUGAUCAUCAAGUCCUUUUAACUCCAGCCAGGAAGAAAGAUUAGUAGCUGCCUGCACUGCUCCUACAUUGUGAAAUUUCCAGAACUGAGCUCUUUUACUUCCCUCUGGGAGGCAGGAGAUGAAUAGAAUUCUCAAAUCAUGCAAGAUUCAGCAGAGUAGGGGAGGAGAAUCGUUACCAUCACUGAGACAGAGAACAAGAAAGAAAACAACAUUUGUUGAUCAAUUUCCAGGGUGCAUAUUGAAGAGCAGCUUCAGGAUGAAACGUUGAGCAUCUCCCCUUGAAAGAGUGUUGGACUCUACAUUUUGAGAGACUGAUUUCACCCUCUGUCUGCCUCUGUAUGGCAAACAAAAGCAAGUCCAGGAGUGGCCUCCAGUCCGUAGAUCAAGAUUUCUUAUUAUUACAGAUACUAAAAGUAUUAGCAGCAAGGAUUGUUUCUAAAAAAGUUCAGGCUCCUCUCUUAAGAAAAAAUCUACUCAAAAAAUCCACAUAAGAGAAAACACUGUCUCUAUUCAUUCAGUAUAGCAAUUUAGCCCUUAAUGAGGUGUUUAUGACCCUGGACUCAACUAGGAGUUCAGUUUUUCUAAUGACUCAGCACCUCAGUGGUUUUGGCUUUAAUUCUUUUAAAUAUACAAGAACAGCACCAGGACAGGGAUGCUAAAUGAGCUCCAUGAGCGCUGGUCAGUUCUAUGCAGAACACUCCACUCUUGCUCCAAAAACCAAUGUUUUUUUUUCCAAAAAACUUCUGCAGCCAGGGAGAAAAAGAGAAAAGAAAAAAAGGAGAAGAGAAUUUUAAGUAAGCUUAGUUUCUCACUAUGAAAUAUUCAUAUUGGAAUAUCUAGUUACUAAAAUGUGCAAAUUUAAAUAAUGACUAAUCCAACGUAAUUUACAAAUAAGAACUGGACACAAAUGUUUUAAAUCUCAGCUUUCUGAAUGAGCGAAGUCAUCGAGCUUUCCAACACUUUAUCAACUGAACAAGCGGGGCAGAAACUCUGGCCCAAGUCUUCACAUUUCCUCAGUGCUCUCUUCACAGCAGUGCCCUUGCCUAGAAGAAGGAUUAUUCGAAAUUUUGUGGAAAGCAAAUGAAUGCUGAAGAAGUUCACCCCGAAUGAAACUGAAAAUCUUUCUGCGCUCUAAGCCAAAAAGAUACGAGAAGUGAAAAAGGACAGGUUGCUUAAACCGACAUCUGCAGUCACAAAAAUGCCUUUUUUUCCUGCUGUCAAUUCUGCUGAAGUUAGAAAAUAGAAAUGCUGCGAAUACCAAUUUUUGUGGUGUCUCUGGAGAUAACAUGCUUUUAGCUUUGUUAACAACGCAGCUGACUAACUCUGGUUACUUUCUGUUGGCAUAUACUCAUCUGACAACGUUUUUAAAACGUAAAUUCUUCUGGGAGCGCGUCUUCGUCGAGUAUUAAUGGCACUAGUAACUUAAAUUGACAUCUAUGUCAUGCAGCCAUGCAUCUGUCAGUAUAAUAAAAAUAUACUUUUAAAAGAUUACUUGAUAUUGUCUGACUUUGGCAGCAGAUGUUUGAGCUUGCUUUGAUGUAAAAAAGAUUAAAUAUUUUUGUCAAUACUUUCUAAUUGGGAAAUUUAUUCAAGAAGACAUCUUUAUAACUGGCAGUGCUGCAAGAUGCAAGGCACUCUAUUGCCUCAGACACCAUUUUUAUUCAUCAAUAAAACAUCAUAACAGGCAGCUGGUGAGCAGAGUGCAAGUAAUUUAUGGAACAGGAAGCUACAUUUCUUCUACAUGCUUUCUGAGACAUCCUUACCUGCCACUGCAUUUUGUUUGAUCUUUUCUCCAGAAAGCAGAGAGAACAAAGGAAAGUGAGCUAACAACUGCGUGCUGUACAUUCAACCAUUUUUGUACAAGACGCGUUUUGGUACCUUAAGGCAAAAAGCUUCAGGCUCAAAGUUCACAGAGUCAUUUUGAAGUAUGGAUAGUAAAUAAAAUGAAGCAACAUUCUGUAUAAUGCAGUCUGAUCACUGGUAUAAUUAACUUUACUCUGAAUACUUUUUGGCGUGCGAUGCCAGCACGAUCAGGAGAGGUAAAAUAACAUUAUAGUAACGGACUCGGCCAGAUUUGCAAACUUAUGUAAGUGCCUAAUGAUGCAAAGCAGAGACUACUGGAAAUUAGAAAAGCCAACCAGCCUAUGAAAUACGAUUGACUUCAAAUAUUCAGGCACAGCAGAAAAUACCCCUAUUAGCACCUCCAGACACUACAAGCAUUUUGCAAACACAGGCUUCAGAUACUCAACAUGGAGGGUGUACAGUACACACAACUGCACACCACAAACAGAUCUGUGACAACACGAAGCAAUAAUUUACUUUGCUGCUUUCUACCACGCAGAAAAUUUCUACAAAUGCGUCGCUUCCCUCUGUUCCUGGAAAGGGCCUUCACCUCUCUGAACUAGUACUGAACAGCCGAGCUGCACCAGCUCAUGAGCAAGCAGGAUGCUGACAAGACAGCCCCACAGGAUGGCAGGGAUGGAGAGCUGGCUGCUCCACAGCCCUCAGCCUCUACACCCCAGCACCUCGGAGCCAGGAGCAGAGCGAGCCCUGUGCCAGCCAAAGGCUCAGCCCUGACACACACUGCUCCUGGAAGCUAAACCACUGCUGUGUUCAGCUUAGAAGUUUGGGGGUUUGUUUGUUUUCAAACAAUCAUCCAAAGCAGGUCAUGUUCUCAAAACAUACCCAAGGACUUCAGCUUCCAGGUAGUAAUUCUCGUAUGCUCACUCAGAAACCUCUGUAAAUAAAAGCGAAGGUUUCCCCAUGCAGGUUUACCAUUGGCAAAAGGUACCAACUUCAAGCUCUCUUUCUAAGAAGACAGGAAUUCCCAAAGCAAGACCUAGUAAGUCUAAACAACUCAGAUGUGGAGCACGAGAGACAACAGCAAGGGGCCGAAAUUUCCAUGUAUUACUUUUUUUUCCCCAGAUAUUGAACAAAUUUGUCCAAAUUUAAAGAUUAAUAAAAUGUAAUGGAAGGUUUUACUUAAUUCAAAAGUGUACAUUUUGUAUUUGAACCUAAUAAAAAGUUUUUGUGACCACAA